rnacentral:rRNA from 1 species
GGAAAGACCCCGUGAACCUUUACUAUAGCUUGACACUGAACAUUGGGCCUUGAUGUGUAGGAUAGGUGGGAGGCAUUGAAACGUGAACGCCAGUUUGCGUGGAGCCGACCUUGAAAUACCACCCUUUAAUGUUUGAUGUUCUAACGUUGUCCCGUAAUCCGGGAUACGGACAGUGUCUGGUGGGUAGUUUGACUGGGGCGGUCUCCUCCUAAAGAGUAACGGAGGAGCACGAAGGUUAGCUAAGCAUGGUCGGACAUCAUGCGGUUAGUGCAAAGGCAGAAGCUAGCUUAACUGCGAGACGGACAGGUCGAGCAGAUACGAAAGUAGGUCUUAGUGAUCCGGUGGUUCUGAAUGGAAGGGCCAUCGCUCAACGGAUAAAAGGUACUCCGGGGAUAACAGGCUGAUACCGCCCAAGAGUUCAUAUCGACGGCGGUGUUUGGCACCUCGAUGUCGGCUCAUCACAUCCUGGGGCUGAAGUUGGUCCCAAGGGUAUGGCUGUUCGCCAUUUAAAGU